GUUCAAAUAGUUUAUAUAAAAUAUUAGUUUGUGGAACUUGAGAUACGUUAGUUGUUUUGGACA
rnacentral:tRNA from 1 species